rnacentral:rRNA from 1 species
CCUACGGGAGGCUGCAGUGGGGAAUUUUGGACAAUGGGCGCAAGCCUGAUCCAGCUAUUCCGCGUGUGGGAUGACGGCCCUCGGGUUGUAAACCACUUUAGUAGAGAACGAAAAGGAGCUAUCGAAUAAAUAGCUCUGCUGACGGUACUCUAAGAAUAAGCACCGGCUAACUCCGUGCCAGCAGCCGCGGUAAUACGGAGGGUGCGAGCGUUAAUCGGAAUUACUGGGCGUAAAGCGCUCGUAGGCGGUAUGUCAAGUCAAGGGUGAAAUCCCCGCGCUCAACGUGGGAACUGCCUUUGAAACUGGCAAACUGGAGUGUGUGAGAGGAUAGUGGAAUUCCAGGUGUAGGAGUGAAAUCCGUAGAUAUCUGGAGGAACAUCAGUGGCGAAGGCGACUAUCUGGCACAUAACUGACGCUGAGGAGCGAAAGCGUGGGUAGCAAACAGGAUUAGAUACCCCAGUAGUC